rnacentral:misc_RNA from 1 species
AUGUUCGCGAGCAGGUUGUUUGGGCUCUUGGAAAUGUUGCCGGUGAUUCCCCGAAAUGCCGGGAUCUUGUUCUGGGCCAUAAUGCUUUGAUGCCCCUCCUAUCCCAACUCAAUGAACAUGCCAAGCUCUCAAUGCUGAGGAACGCUACAUGGACGCUUUCAAACUUCUGUAGGGGUAAACCACAGCCAGCUUUUGAGCAGACGAGACCGGCUCUUCCUGCCCUUGAGCGGCUGAUUCAUUCAAGUGAUGAGGAGGUCCUGACUGAUGCGUGCUGGGCACUAUCCUAUUUGUCUGAUGGCA